GCCCGGAUGGCAGCGGCAGCCACCUUGCGACCGUAAAGGGAAAGAAAGCCAAGUGGAUUGUAGAGCCCUUGAGCUGAUCAGAGACGGGAUGGGACUCAGCGAAGUCCUGGAGCCAGAAAACAAAGGUAGAGAAGCAGGUGAACACCAGAUGCUGAAAUUGGUCACACAGCCUCGAGUCUCAAGGCCCGGACAGAUGUGUUCUAUACACUUGUUUA